AGCGAACGCUGGCGGCAGGCCUAACACAUGCAAGUCGAACGAACUCUUCGGAGUUAGUGGCGGACGGGUGAGUAACACGUGGGAACGUGCCUUUUGGCUCGGAAUAACUCAGGGAAACUUGUGCUAAUACCGAAUGUGCCCUUCGGGGGAAAGAUUUAUCGCCAUUAGAGCGGCCCGCGUCUGAUUAGCUAGUUGGUGAGGUAACGGCUCACCAAGGCGACGAUCAGUAGCUGGUCUGAGAGGAUGACCAGCCACACUGGGACUGAGACACGGCCCAGACUCCUACGGGAGGCAGCAGUGGGGAAUCUUGCGCAAAGGGAGAAAGCCUGACGCAGCCAGGCCGCGUGAAUGAUGAAGGUCUUAGGAUAGUAAAAUUCUUUCACCGGGGACGAUAAUGACGGUACCCGGAGAAGAAGCCCCGGCUAACUACGUG
rnacentral:rRNA from 1 species